GGUAGAAGGGGCUGGCCUAGUGACAAGACUGCGUGUGAAGGGUGACGGAGGGAGAGAAGGAAGAUUACCCGAAGCAGGUUCCCGGCUGCUUUAAUCAUUGGGUCUGUUAUUAAAUCAGUGACAACUCAUCCCAACAAAGAAUGCCAAGAGUGGGAUGGGCUUGGAGAGAAGAUCAGUGUUAGAGAUAAUGAGCUUGGAGUGCAGGUGAGAAAUUCAGGUGACCUAUUACUAGCUGUCUAUUGGGUUGGCCAAAAAGUUUGUUCGGGUUUUUCCGUAAGAUGUUACGGAAUAUACUUGCAGCGUGCCAGGAGGGAUUGGCAGUCCAGCCCUCCCCAUUGGAGGGACAACUGUCUUAAAAUAAUCUGAUGGAAUUUGGGGCCAUUAUCUGGCCCCAAGAAAAUAGCUGCUAAAAGUGGAAUGCAGCUCUUUUACAAUGUCAGCAAAGCUGGAAGAGGGUCCAAAAAAUUCCUCCUCAAAAAAAUGAGGACUUAUGGACUACGGAGCAAGUAGGUGGACCUAACGAACAUUACCAUUAAAGGACAAAACCUCAUUAUUCCAUCUCCAGACUUGGAUGUGUUGUAUGUGCUUCUAGAACGUGCAGUUUUCUCUUCUGGCAUCUUGGGCUAUCCUAUUACUGACUUCCUUUGAACAAGAGGACGUGAAAUUAAACUGUGAUCCUUCUUUUGUUUUUUUAAAAACUAGAUACUAAUGGAAGAAAUGUUCACAUAUUGAGGUAUGGGGAAAGUCAUCCUGGCUUAUACGUAAUUUAACUUGAAUUUUAUGCUAACUAAAACAGCCGGUUUGUGGCCUAUCAAACAUACACUGUACCUCUGCUUUAAUCAUUAAAGAAAAGUGCAUUGACCCUG